rnacentral:sRNA from 1 species
CUGGGGCUCCGCGCUCGUCCGGCCGGCCCCGGCCUCGCCGCCCCGCGCAGUACCCACCCGGCCCCGCCGACCCGCCUCUACUGCCGGCUCCGCGCCCUUCCCCGGGGGCUGGAUGAUGGGCUGUUUCGCCCUGCAAACGGUGGACACCGAGCUGACGGCGGACUCGGUGGAGUGGUGCCCGCUGCAAGGCUGCAGGCACCUGCUGGCGUGCGGGACCUACCAGCUGCGGCGGCCGGAGGACCGGCCUGCCGGCCCCCAGAAUAAGAUAUACAACCACUUCCUGUUGUGUCACACUUGCCUGCAGUAACAUGCUGUAAGGUUUGUGGCAUAGGAGCAGUGGGCCAUACCAUAUAGUCAAGGUGUCACAUCCCGGUGGCUGGACAUGCCCUCUUGGGCUUGGCAGAUGCCAGUGGAUCCAUACAACUGCUCCGCCUGGUGGAAUCUGAGAAGAGCCACGUGCUGGAGCCAUUGUCCAGCCUUGCCCUGGAGGAGCAGUGUCUGGCUUUGUCCCUCGAUUGGUCCACUGGGAAAACUGGAAGGGCGGGGGACCAGCCCUUGAAGAUCAUCAGCAGUGACUCCACAGGGCAGCUCCACCUCCUGAUGGUGAAUGAGACGAGGCCCAGGCUGCAGAAAGUGGCCUCAUGGCAGGCACAUCAAUUCGAGGCCUGGAUUGCUGCUUUCAAUUACUGGCAUACAGAAAUUGUGUAUUCAGGGGGUGACGAUGGCCUUCUGAGGGGCUGGGACACCAGGGUACCCGGCAAAUUUCUCUUCACCAGCAAAAGCUAUGAUGAACACAUCCUACUGUGGGACACACGAAACAUGAAGCAGCCGUUGGCAGACACGCCCGUGCAGGGUGGGGUAUGGAGAAUCAAGUGGCACCCUUUCCACCACCACCUGCUCCUGGCCGCCUGCAUGCAC